UGAAUACGAGACACUACGGCGUUGAAGCAUUGUAUGUCAUACUUCCAAGAAAAGCUCGCAAGGUCAUAAACAAAUAAUGCCUGUACCAUAACCGACACAGGUGGGUAGGUAGAGUAUACUAAGGGGCGCGAGAUAACUCUCUCUAAGGAACUCGGCAAAAUGACUCCGUAACUUCGGGAGAAGGAGUGCCUUAUUUUAUAAGGUUGCAAUAACAAGAUCCAAGCAACUGUUUAUCAAAAACACAGGUCUCCGCUAAGUCGUAAGACGAUGUAUGGGGGCUGACGCCUGCCCAGUGCCAGAAGGUUAAAGAAGUUGGUUAGCAACUGCAAAGCUGAUAACUGAAGCCCUGGUGAACGGCGGCCGUAACAAUAACGGUCCUAAGGUAGCGAAAUUCCUUGUCGGGUAAGUUCCGACCCGCACGAAAGGCGUAAUGAUUUGGAUACUGUCUCAGAGAGGGGCUCGGUGAAAUAGACUUGUCUGUGAAGAUGCGGACUACCUGCACCUGGACAGAAAGACCCUAUGAAGCUUUACUGUAACUUGAAAUUGAAACUGGACUUUACUUGCGCAGGAUAGGUGGGAGGCGUUGAGAGUAUUCUUGCGGGAAUAUUGGAGCCAUCGGUGAGAUACCACUCUUGUAAUGUUAGGUUUCUAACUUGGUAUCAUGAUCUGGUCCAAGAACAGUUUCAGGCGGGCAGUUUGACUGGGGCGGUCGCCUCCUAAACGGUAACGGAGGCGUACAAAGGUUUCCUCUGAACGGGUAGAAAUCGUAUCUAGAGUGUAAAGGCAUAAGGAAGCUUGACUGUGAGACCUACAAGUCGAGCAGGGACGAAAGUCGGUCUUAGUGAUCUGACGGUGCUGAGUGGAAAGGCCGUCACUCAACGGAUAAAAGUUACUCUAGGAUAACAGGCUGAUCUCCCCCAAGAGUUCACAUCGACGGGGAGGUUUGGCACCUCGAUGUCGGCUCAUCGCAUCCUGGGGCGGUAGUACGUCCCAAGGGUUGGGCUGUUCGCCCAUGAAAGCGGUACGCGAGCUGGGUUCAGAACGUCGUGAGACAGUUCGGUCCAUAUCCGGUGUAGGCGUUAGAAUAUUGAGAGGAGCCUUCUUUAGUACGAGAGGACCGAGAAGGACACACCUAUGGUGUACCAGUUAUCGUGCCAACGGUAAAUGCUGGGUAGCUAUGUGUGAGUGGAUAACCGCUGAAAGCAUCUAAGUGGGAAGCCCACCCAAGAUUAGUAUUCUCAC
rnacentral:rRNA from 1 species